GUCCUUCAGAAACAUCCUAUUAUUGUUAUCCUUGUUAACCCAUUUAUUGACAGUACCCUACCACUGACUGAGUAUUAAAAAUCGUCUGGUGUUGGACAGGGUAAAUACUAAAGUAGGGGCCAUUACUGUGUUGAUGAAUUAACAAGAGCCAUUUACUGGCAGUUUGUUAACCCAUUUACUGGCAGUACCCUAUACCACUGACGAGUAAAAUCUUCUGGCGCUGGACAAGGGAAGGGCGCAUUGCCAGCUAAUGGGUUAAACCACCGUGGUUAAACAUAAGAUUUCAUGAUGCUCCAGG